rnacentral:hammerhead_ribozyme from 1 species
AUCCAGCUGAUGAGUUCGAGAUAGGACGGAACGUGCGUCCUGGAU